rnacentral:miRNA from 1 species
CGGUCGUUCAUUAGGUCAUCUAGC